CAAAAAGAACAUAUGAUGCCACAGAGACGUCUUGAUGCCAAACAGCAAAUUUAAUGAAUCUUUUAUUAUGAAGUCAAAUUGUAGGUUAUUAAUAUUUAUAAGUCUCUACUGCAUUUUAUCAAUGUUAUUUUUCACUAUAUUUUUAUAGAUUGUUUUUGUUGAUAAUCACAUGAAUAUAAUACACAAUUCAUAAAAAGAGCAUUGAUGAAUUCAGGUUUUGCUUUCACAGCUUAAAGAAUAAGGGCAAUCUGACUGCAUUUUGGAACUGUGAUGUAUAAUCAUGACAACUGUCUUUACCGUUUACUGGUACAUGAUUGUUUUGCAUUGAACAAUUUGUAUUAUUUAUGAAUGAAUUGUUAUGUAUGAUGCAACGAUAACAAAAUGGCUGACAACAGUUUUGAAGGGAUUGUCUAGUCUGACUAUCUGACUCAGCUGAUUGUGUCAUGGUUCCCAUGAUAUCAACCACUUGUUUGACUGGUCCAGAGCUGGUUAUUUACAGCUGUGAUGGAGCUGGAAUAUUGCAGAAUGCUCACUGACUUCACUCACUUUAACCUCCUCUUUUCUAUAAUCAUCUGUUCACUUAAAAAAAAUUUGAUUUGAAUUUUCAAAGUUGACAUUAUUUUGAUUUAAAUCUAUCGAGGUUAUGAAAUACCUACCUGGCAUUAUUAACAUUCUGACAAUCAUAUUGCAUCUAUCCAACGUGAUGUUUUGAAGCUUUUCACAAUCACUGGAGCUAUGUGAAGAAAAGCAUUGAUUUAUUGGCUGGAUAUCAUAAAAUAGAGGCAGUUAUGGGAAUGACUGCUACUAGCAGAUUGGUUAGAGGAAGAACCCAUUACUCCCACAUAGUUUAGAGGAAGAACCAUUACUAGAAGAUUAGUUAGAGGAAGAACAGUUACUAGUACAUAGGUUAGAGGAAGAACCAUUACUAGAAGAUUGGUUAGAGGAAGAACAGUUACUAGUACAUAUAGAGGGAAAAACAACACUGAUACAUUUCUGGUGACCCCCUGCCGUGAUAUUGCUGAAAUAUUUCAAAAGCGGCAUAGACAAAACUGAACUCACUCACUUCUGAAAACUUUAUGAACAUCAGAGACCCCUGUAAAAGUUAUCGACUUGUCUGUAAUGUUUUUCUGUAUUGAACAGUCGAGCAAGGAAGACAUCUUUAUGACAACAUCAGCAUCCUUGCCUUCAGUUCUUUGCUCAUCCAAACAUGCUCACUGACUUUAACCUCCUCUUUUCUACAAUCAUCUGUUCACUUACGAUAUUUUCAAUUUGAUUUUACAAAGCUGACACUCUUUUAAUUUAAAUCUAUCCAGCAGGGCUCCAGAUAAGGUCCGUAUCGGCGUAUGUACGGAUGAAAAAUACGCACGAUACGGUUGGAAA